CCCCUAGAUGUUCUGGGCCGCACGCGCGCUACACUGAACAGUUCAACAAGUCUUAACCUUGGCCGAUAGGUCUGGGUAAUCUUUGAAACCGUAUCGUGAUGGGGAUAGAACAUUGCAAUUAUUGUUCUUCAACGAGGAAUGCCUAGUAAGCGCGAGUCAUCAACUCGCGUUGAUUACGUCCCUGCCCUUUGUACACACCGCCCGUCGCUCCUACCGAUUGAACGUGCUGGUGAAGCGUUAGGACUGGCGCCGCGUGUCGGGUUCCCCUUCAACGGGGCGCCGGGAAUUUCGUUGAACCCUCCCGUUUAGAGGAAGGAGAAGUCGUAACA
rnacentral:rRNA from 1 species